rnacentral:rRNA from 1 species
AGCAGCCGCGGUAAUACGUAGGUGGCAAGCGUUGUCCGGAAUUAUUGGGCGUAAAGGGCUCGCAGGCGGUUUCUUAAGUCUGAUGUGAAAGCCCCCGGCUCAACCGGGGAGGGUCAUUGGAAACUGGGAAACUUGAGUGCAGAAGAGGAGAGUGGAAUUCCACGUGUAGCGGUGAAAUGCGUAGAGAUGUGGAGGAACACCAGUGGCGAAGGCGACUCUCUGGUCUGUAACUGACGCUGAGGAGCGAAAGCGUGGGGAGCGAACAGGAUUAGAUACCCUGGUAGUCCACGCCGUAAACGAUGAGUGCUAAGUGUUAGGGGGUUUCCGCCCCUUAGUGCUGCAGCUAACGCAUUAAGCACUCCGCCUGGGGAGUACGGUCGCAAGACUGAAACUCAAAGGAAUUGACGGGGGCCCGCACAAGCGGUGGAGCAUGUGGUUUAAUUCGAAGCAACGCGAAGAACCUUACCAGGUCUUGACAUCCUCUGACAACCCUAGAGAUAGGGCUUUCCCUUCGGGGACAGAGUGACAGGUGGUGCAUGGUUGUCGUCAGCUCGUGUCGUGAGAUGUUGGGUUAAGUCCCGCAACGAGCGCAACCCUUGAUCUUAGUUGCCAGCAUUUAGUUGGGCACUCUAAGGUGACUGCCGGUGACAAACCGGAGGAAGGUGGGGAUGACGUCAAAUCAUCAUGCCCCUUAUGACCUGGGCUACACACGUGCUACAAUGGACAGAACAAAGGGCUGCGAGACCGCAAGGUUUAGCCAAUCCCAUAAAUCUGUUCUCAGUUCGGAUCGCAGUCUGCAACUCGACUGCGUGAAGCUGGAAUCGCUAGUAAUCGCGGAU